AAGUCGUAACAAGGUUUCCGUAGGUGAACCUGCGGAAGGAUCAUUAACAAUUGAUAUUCCGGUCAUUGUGGGCGACGAGCAUAGAUAAAGCUUCUGCUUCUUUGCUUGGCUCACUUCGGCUUGGAACCUGAUCUCUGAAGGCAAAUAGCAAUAUUUCUUUCAGAAGGUCAUCAUAACAAGUAACCUGGGGUACUUUAGAGUGGAGAUAUACUUCGGUGCAUCUUUACUUUAGAGCCCUUCUAAUAAUCCCUUUAUUUUACCAUUUUACCCCUUCAAACUAUUAAGACUGAUAUGACAUGAUUUAAUGUCACAAUUAAAUCUGAAAACAACUCUUAACAAUGGAUAUCUAGGUUCUG
rnacentral:misc_RNA from 1 species